GUCUAUGGCCAUACCACCCUGAACACACCCGAUGUCGUCUGAUCUCGGAAGCUAAGCAGGGUCAGGCCUGGUUAGUACUUGGAUGGGAGGAAUGAGAAGCAGUGCAGUGCCUUUGGGA
rnacentral:rRNA from 1 species